rnacentral:rRNA from 1 species
UGAGGAAUAUUGCGCAAUGGGCGAAAGCCUGACGCAGCGACGCCGCGUGGAGGAUGAAGGUCUUCGGAUUGUAAACUUCUGUUAAGUGGGAAGAAAUAGCCACGAGUAAUAUGCGUGGAAGAUGACGGUACCAUUAGAGAAAGCACCGGCUAACUUCGUGCCAGCAGCCGCGGUAAUACGAAGGGUGCAAGCGUUAUUCGGAUUUAUUGGGCGUAAAGGGUGCGUAGGCGGUAUGUUAAGUCAACUGUUAAAUUCUUCGGCCUAACCGGAGGUCAGCAGUAGAAACUGGCAAACUAGAGAGUGGAAGAGAGAAGUGGAAUUCUUGGAGUAGCGGUAAAAUGCGUAGAUCUCAAGAGGAACACCGAUGGCGAAGGCAGCUUCUUGGUCCAUUUCUGACGCUCAUGCACGAAAGCGUGGGGAGCAAACAGGAUUAGAUACCCUGGUAGUCCACGCCGUAAACGAUGAUCACUAGAUGUUAGUCCCGCUUGCGGGAUUGGUGUCGUAGC